rnacentral:rRNA from 1 species
GACGAACGCUGGCGGCGUGCUUAACACAUGCAAGUCGAACGGAAAGGCCCUGCUUGCAGGGUACUCGAGUGGCGAACGGGCGAGUAACACGUGGGUGAUCUGCCCUGCACUUCGGGAUAAGCCUGGGAAACUGGGUCUAAUACCGGAUAGGAGCCAUUUUUAGUGUGAUGGUUGGAAAGUUUUUUCGGUGUAGGAUGAGCUCGCGGCCUAUCAGCUUGUUGGUGGGGUAAUGGCCUACCAAGGCGGCGACGGGUAGCCGGCCUGAGAGGGUGGACGGCCACAGUGGGACUGAGAUACGGCCCAGACUCCUACGGGAGGCAGCAGUGGGGAAUAUUGCACAAUGGGCGCAAGCCUGAUGCAGCGACGCCGCGUGGGGGAUGACGGCCUUCGGGUUGUAAACUCCUUUCGCUAGGGACGAAGCUUUUUGUGACGGUACCUAGAUAAGAAGCACCGGCUAACUACGUG